CUUCUCAGUGCUGCCUUUGCUCUGGGAGACGCAAUUUCAUCAGGAAUCCGCUUGUGUCCCUCCGGUUGGACUGACUAUGGAUCACGCUGCUUCAUGUUUGUCAAGACUGCAAGGAACUGGCCUGAAGCAGAGCGGCAUUGUAUGUCCCUUGGCGCAAACCUGGCGUCUGUACAUAGCUCUGAGGAGAAUCAAUUUCUACAGAUGGUG